ensembl:snoRNA
AGAGACACUAAUGAUAGAGCCAUGUGGCUGCUAUGUCACAUGUUCAUCAUGGGAUGGCAGAGGGAGAGAAGCUAUGUCCAAGCUAAGCACAGUGACCCAUGAAUAUCUGAAUGAUCAGUAGCCUAACACU